ACUAAAAUCUAUUAAGGUAGUAUAAAUUUAUUUAAAAACCUAUAUAGUAAUGGCGGCAUUCCAUCUUAUUAGAGGAACAUGUUCUGUAAUCGAUAAUACACGAUUAAUUUCACUUAUUUUAUUUUAAAUUUUAUAUACCUCCAUUUAUAAAUUAAUUUUAAUAUAUUUUUCUAAUAAUAUUCUAAAAAAUUAGGUAAAGGUGUAAACUAUAAAUAAGAAAUUAAUGUGUUACAUUAAAUACAAUUUAAGGAUUAUAUUUUAAAUUAUAAAUAAAAAAGAAUUUAAAUGUAAAAUUUCAAUAAUAUUUUAAUUUGAAUAAGAAAAUAAAUGUGC
rnacentral:rRNA from 1 species